UGUAGACAUUGCUCAUUCUGA
rnacentral:misc_RNA from 1 species